rnacentral:rRNA from 1 species
UAGGAAUCUGCCCAGUAGAGGGGGAUAGCCCGGGGAAACUCGGAUUAAUACCGCAUACGCCCCACGGGGGAAAGCAGGGGAUCUUCGGACCUUGCGCUAUUGGAUGAGCCUGCGUGAGAUUAGCUAGUUGGUGGGGUAAAGGCCUACCAAGGCGACGAUCUCUAGCUGGUCUGAGAGGAUGAUCAGCCACACUGGGACUGAGACACGGCCCAGACUCCUACGGGAGGCAGCAGUGGGGAAUAUUGGACAAUGGGGGCAACCCUGAUCCAGCCAUGCCGCGUGUGUGAAGAAGGCCUUAGGGUUGUAAAGCACUUUCAGUAGGGAGGAAGGCCCAGUAGUUAAUACCUGCAGGGAUUGACGUUACCUACAGAAGCAGCACCGG